AAACAGCUCCUGCGCGCCGCCGUGUCCACCCCUCCAGACGCUGACUCCCUUCUCCUGGCGCCGAGUCUGGCUCGAGGGGCCGCACAUGGCGCCUCAAAGGGCCCAGUUGGGAGUCGGGAUUCGCAAGGCAGUAAAUCAACCUCAAAGGAAAGCUGUAUACCUGCACAAGUGGUGGCUGCCAUUGAUGUCAACACUGUCGCUAAUGAAGUAUACAAGUAUAAUUUUCCUCACACACAGUUACUUGCCAAGACGAUUGAAUUACAUACUGUAGAGUAAAUGAUAGCUACCGAAGACAGAGUGAUCCGUGAUAAAUAUCAUUAAUGCCUCUGAAGAGGAGAAUGACUCCAGUGGAACAAAAACUCUUAAUAAAAAUAGAUAAAAAUUUUUCUAGAAUGAAAUUUACAAUAUAACAUCCAUGAGCCCUUCUGGAACAGAUGACUGCAUCACUUAAUCUAGCUGAGCAAGAGAUGAAUCAAAGUAGAAAACCCAGGAAUGAAGCUGCCGUGUUAGGAGGAAAACUAUGGUUAGAAAAUAGCUGAAAAUGUUGUAAAGCUUUGCAGUGUAGAAAUAAUAAUGUAAUCGGAGUGGGAAGAGGCAGUGAGACACAAAAAAUAUGUCUUUGCAGAUAAAUGAAACUAUCAAUUUUUUAGGACAUUAUUCAGUGUUGUUGUCAGGGUCUCAGCAGAGCUGGGAAAGAGAAAGCUCAGCUGUCAAGAGCGUUAAAGUA
rnacentral:lncRNA from 10 species